rnacentral:rRNA from 1 species
GACGAACGCUGGCGGCGUGCUUAACACAUGCAAGUCGAACGGAAAGGCCCUGCUUGCAGGGUACUCGAGUGGCGAACGGGUGAGUAACACGUGGGUGAUCUGCCCUGCACUUCGGGAUAAGCCUGGGAAACUGGGUCUAAUACCGGAUAGGAGCCAUUUUUAGUGUGAUGGUUGGAAAGUUUUUUCGGUGUAGGAUGAGCUCGCGGCCUAUCAGCUUGUUGGUGGGGUAAUGGCCUACCAAGGCGGCGACGGGUAGCCGGCCUGAGAGGGUGGACGGCCACAGUGGGACUGGGAUACGGCCCAGACUCCUACGGGAGGCAGCAGUGGGGAAUAUUGCACAAUGGGCGCAAGCCUGAUGCAGCGACGCCGCGUGGGGGAUGACGGCCUUCGGGUUGUAAACUCCUUUCGCUAGGGACGAAGCUUUUUGUGACGGUACCUAGAUAAGAAGCACCGGCUAACUACGUG